GAUGAACGCUGGCGGCGUGCCUAAUACAUGCAAGUCGAGCGAACAGACGAGGAGCUUGCUCCUCUGACGUUAGCGGCGGACGGGUGAGUAACACGUGGAUAACCUACCUAUAAGACUGGGAUAACUUCGGGAAACCGGAGCUAAUACCGGAUAAUAUAUUGAACCGCAUGGUUCAAUAGUGAAAGACGGUUUUGCUGUCACUUAUAGAUGGAUCCGCGCCGCAUGAGCUAGUUGGUAAGGUAACGGCUUACCAAGGCAACGAUGCGUAGCCGACCUGAGAGGCUGGUCGGCCACCCUGGAACUGAGACGCGGUCCAGACUCCUACGGGAGGCCGCAGUAGGCAAUCUUCCGCAAUGGGCGAAAGCCUUACGGAGCAACCCCGCGUGAGUGAUGAAGGUCUUCGGAUCGUGAAACUCUGUUAUUAGGGAAGAACAACUGUGUAAGUAACUAUGCCCGUAUUGACGGUACCUAAUCAGAAAGCCCCGGCUAACUACGUG
rnacentral:rRNA from 1 species